UAGCAUAAUCAUUAGUUUUUUAAUUGAAGACUAGUAUGAAAGGUUUAAUAAAAAAUAAGCUUUAUAAAUUUAAUUAAAUUGAAUUUGUUUUUUUAGUAAAAAAACUAAAAUGUUUAAAAAAGACGAUAAGACCCUAUAAAGCUUUAUAAUAAUAAAAAAAUUUAUAAGUAGAAUAAUUUAUUUAUUUUUUUUUAUUAAUUAUUUGAUUGGGGUGAUUUAAAGAUUUAUUAAACUCUUUAUUUUUUUUAUCAUUGGUAUAUGUUUUUUUUUGAUCCUUUAAUUUAAGAGUAAAAAAUUAAGUUACUUUAGGGAUAACAGCGUAAUUUUUUUAAAGAGUUCAAAUCGAUAAAAAAGAUUGCGACCUCGAUGUUGAAUUAAGAUAAAGAUUAGGUGUAGAAGUUUAAUUUUU
rnacentral:rRNA from 1 species